rnacentral:lncRNA from 1 species
GGGCUCCUCUGCGGGGGGAGAUGAUAGUUGCGCUUUUGUUUGUUUGGAAGUGCUGGCAGGAAAGCGGGGAGGAGAGAAUUACCUAAGUGAUGGAGCGAUUGCAAGGAGCGGGGCAAAGCUGCGGCGCCGGGGCGGACGCGCUCCACCUCCGCACGCCCCGCGGAGCAGCCCCCCGCCGCGGCACGCAGGGCUGGAGCUGCACCCGCUGCCCGAGCGCGGCGGAGCCCCGGGAGCCGCCUGCGACGCCGAGGCUGCAGCGAGCUGCAACGGGCUGCAACGCGCCUGCCGCGAGCCCGGGGAUGAUGGGGGGGAGGCGGCUGCUCUGGGUCGCCCUCUGCGCUGUGACCCUGUGCGGCCCAGCCGCCGGCAGCCCCACGGAUGAGCCCACCACCGCCCUGACGCCUCGGACGGGGACGAGCGGCAGCAGCGCGGCCACCAGCCCAUCGAGCACCGCCGAGCCGGCSCGGGAGACCACCGCUGCAGCGGGACCCCCCACGCCGGCCCCCACCUCCACGGCACACAGCACGGGCCAGCCGAGCCCCCGGCCCGGCCAGACCUCCCCCCGGGCCCCCAGCACCCGGCCGGACGCGAGCAGCGGGCCCCCCGUGGCGACGCACAGCCCCACGGCGCAGCCCGGCACCACGGCAGCACCCGCGACGUCGGGGUCGGCGCUGCCAAGCUCUCCCACCACGCCGGGGCACACGGCCACCUCCGCUCCCACGGCGCCCGGCGGCAGAGCUCGCAACGCCUCCAAGGUGAGGGGGGGUCCACGGUACCCGCUGCACUACCCCACUGCGAUACCCCGCAGCAAUACCCCACU